CCAGCACAAUCUUAUCUUUUUUUAAUAUAAUAAACACUUGGUUUAGUGAUUAAGAAAACAAGUUCAUUUACAAAGAUACCGAACUCAAAGGAAAAUUCAAAACGGAAAGACCCUUAUAAAAUGUCAAAAUCAAAAGCUCAAACACAUCAAAUCAAUGGAAAGUAGCUGUCACAUUCCUGAAGCGCUUUCUCUAACCAUCCUUCAUAACUAAUGAUUAAACCGAAACAUUUAUAUCCAGGGCUGAGUAAAUACACGGAAACAUGAUAAGCUCUAUCUAUGUAACCAAUAAGGACCUAGAGAGAAUAGCCAUGUAUACAUCUAACGUCAACUUAAGCUGAGUGGGUUGAAACCUUGGUCUCUUAAUCAAGGAUCAAUAGAGUUUAUAAAAUAAAGUUAGUGCACAAUUCAAUACUCAGUAAUUACUCUUUUUAUC
rnacentral:lncRNA from 1 species